rnacentral:rRNA from 1 species
AGUAGCUGCCGAAUCAGGGUGGUUAUUGCGGCGGGGUCCACCUCUUUCCAUUUCGAACAGAGCAGUUAAGCCCGCCAGCGCAGAUGGUACUGCCGAAAGGUGGGAGAGUAUGUCGCUGCCCUUC